rnacentral:rRNA from 1 species
GACGAACGCUGGCGGCGUGCUUAACACAUGCAAGUCGAACGGAAAGGCCCUGCUUUUGUGGGGUGCUCGAGUGGCGAACGGGUGAGUAACACGUGAGUAACCUGCCCUUGACUUUGGGAUAACUUCAGGAAACUGGGGCUAAUACCGGAUAGGAGCUCCUGCUGCAUGGUGGGGGUUGGAAAGUUUCGGCGGUUGGGGAUGGACUCGCGGCUUAUCAGCUUGUUGGUGGGGUAGUGGCUUACCAAGGCUUUGACGGGUAGCCGGCCUGAGAGGGUGACCGGCCUGAGUGAGACAGAGAGGCGGCCGAGACUGAUACGGGGGGAAGAGGGGGGGAGGAUGGAAGGAUGGGCGGAGGCGUCGUGGCGCCACGCGGGGGGCGGGAGGACGGGCGUCGGGUUGUAUACCGCUUGGGGUUGGGAGGUAGGGGGGGGGACGGUAAGGGGUAAAGAAGCACCGGCCAACUCGGUGCCAGAGGCGGCGGUAAUGGCCGAAGCGCAUACGUCCGAAC